GUAUAUUAAGAAAGAAACUGGAAUGGCUAUUGCCAAAAUACAAGAAAACUAGAGACCCUUGAAACUAGACUAGAAGCAAGAAAGGAGUUGACAAGAGUGAAGAGGGCUUCACUCUUGCCUCUAUAUAUACUAUCUAACUAGAAGCCACGUGGCAAUGUUCUAUAAGACCUCCAAUAUAUGUUGACUUUCUAGGCCACAUGCCUUUGCUUGCAAGGCAAGUUUUCUAUGGAUGGACCACGUAGUUAGCUUGUUCUUUAAGCUUCCAACAUGCGUGGCACAUGGCUAACUUGUUGACGAAGUUUCUAACCUAAAAGUCAACUAUAGACUCCUAUAAAGUCAAAGCAGCGUCUAUAAAGCUUCUAAGAAGCUUCUCUAGAAGAUAUUACUACUUUUAUCUACUUUUACAUACUUUUAUCUAUUCAUAUAGGUAAUUAUAUGUAUGUCCGUGACAUUACCCCCCCUUCUAGGGACGAGUUCCACGAGGAGCGGUGAUUAUAUAUUGAGAAAAUCUAAUAUGCGGCGAAUUGUAUUUAUUACAUACUCUGAUCUUUGUUCUCUUUGAAGAUAGUUGAUGGGUCCUCUUAGCCAUCGAUAGUGUCCCAUUCCAGGGCGAGAAGACCACCCUGUUAUUUGAUCACUGUUGAGGCCUUCAUAACUUCCUUCAAAUAAUACAUUUGAAACACCAUCAGGAGUCGUUCCUAUCUCCAAUAAUAUCACCAAACAUCGAGAAUCUCUUCCAAGGUCGUGAUACCAAAUGCGUUGUAUCUCACCAUCUAUUCGAGGAAGAACAUGUCGUUCUUCAGGAUCUUCAUCUCGGUUGCGUCGUCUUGAAGGUUGUGACAAUCGCAAUGUCUCAUCCGGUAAGUCAGCAAACGAAGGUUCUUGAGUUGAAUCCGCUGGUUGUUGGCUCUCCAUCUAAUAAGCGUCACAAAUGCAAAGAAGUUACAAACAAGGAUAGGAAAUUGAAUGUUAUCUUGCCUCAAUCUUGUCUCUUUUAUAAGAGAGGUUUUCAUCUUGGUUUUGAUGGAUGUCGUUGAUGAAAAACUUUGACUUUAGCUGAUGCAUUUGCUAGAUUCCUGGAUGGCUCCCAUGUGUGCUCACUAAUAUCAUAUCCGCACCAAUGAACAAGAUAUUCCAGCUUAUUUCGGCGCCGCCUUGAGUCUAAUAUCUCUUCCACCUCAAAUUCUUCAUUAUUAUCUACUUCUAUAGGAGGCAGUGGCAUUUGUCUUCUUCCUUGUAUAUCCACUGUCUUAUAUGGUUCAAGAAGAGACACGUGGAAUACAGGAUGGAUCUUCAUUGACUCCGGUAGAUGUAACCGAUAUGCAACUGGGUUGAUCUGUUCAGAAACAGAAAAGGGGCCAAGCCUACGAUAGUCCAAUUUGUCACAAGGUCGAGUGGUCUUGAUAUUGCGACGAAGUAGCCAUACCUUAUCACCCACGUUGAGUUGUGGUUGCUCUUUACGAUAUACAUCUGCAUUUAUCUUUUGUCGUUCUUGAGCUUUCUUCAACUGCGCCUUCAUUAUUGCAUGUAACUCUGACAACCGAUUUGCCAUAUCUUCUGCUGCAGGAUUAUCAACUUUUGAAAAAUCAAAAGUAUCAAGUCGUGGAUGAUAGCCAUAAUUGGCAAAGAAAGGUGUUUGUUGCGUGGAGGAAUGUACCGUAUUAUUAUAAGCAAACUCUGCCAAUGGCAGAAGGUUUGUCCAAUCAUCUUGUUGGUAGUUGAUGGUACACCUUAAAUACUGUUCCAAGACUUGGUUUACGCGCUCUGUUUGUCCAUCAAUUUGAGGAUGGAAAGCUGAAGAUAGCUUUAUGUCCACUUUUAAAAUCUUGAAAAGAGUCCUCCAGAAUCUCGACACAAAUUGAGUUCCCCUAUCCGAUAUGAUAUCUUUAGGUAAUCCAUGAUAGCGAUAGAUAUUAUCAAUGAAAAGCUUAGCUGUUUCUUCACCUGUGAUAGAUUUUGUACAUGGCAUAAAAUGUGCCAUCUUGGUGAAACGAUCUACUAUCACAAAUAUAGAAUCAUAAGAUCUUGAGUUUGGAAGAUCUGUGAUGAAAUCCAUAGAAACAGAAGACCAUGGUUGUUCUGGUAUAGGUAAUGGCUGAAGAAGUCCGUAAGGUCGAUGUCGAGGAAUUUUUGAUCUUGAACAAAUAUCACAUGAUUGUACAAAGUCUUUGACUGACUUCCACAUUUGUGGCCACCAAAAAUCUCUUGAUAUGAGUUCCAGAGUCUUAUUAUAUCCAAAGUGCCCUGCUGCUGGAAAGUCAUGACGUGCUUGAAGAACACGCAAACGUGCUUUUCCUUCUAGAACAUAUAGGCGUCCUUCAAAAUAUAAUAGAUUAUUCUUGAACUCGAACUUAGAAGAAUCAUAAGACUUGGAAGAAUUAUUCUCGAUAUCAUGAACAAGAGGGUCUGAGGACAUACUGGACUGGAUUUCCUUGAGAAAAGUUGAAUCAACAGUCAAUGUUGAUUUCACUGCUCGGAGAUGAAAUUGCUCCGGUUUCAAGAGGACCGUUCUUUGUUGCUCAAAAGCUGCAUCUCCUUCUUUUGGUGCAAAAUAAGAACGUCUAGACAGGGCAUCGGACAAACCUUGUUGUUUUCCUGGCCGAUAAGUGAUAAUGAACUCGAAUCUUGACAAAGACAUACUCCAACGAGCUUGACGACGAUUCAACACGCGUGCUGACAUGAAAUACUCGAGGUUCUUGUGAUCUGUAUAUACAGUGACUGGACUAGAAGCACCUUCUAGAUAAUGAUGCCAUUCUUGAAAGGAAUCCACGAUUGCAAGAAGUUCUUUAUCGUGGAUCUCAUAAUUGAUCUCGGCUGCUGAGAAUUUUCUUGAAUGAAAAGCUAUCGGAUGAAGUUUGUCAUCUGUUCCCAUUUGUGAUAAAACUACACCCAAGGCAAAAUCCAAUGCGUCUGUUUCCAUAAAAAAUACCUUGGAAAAGUCAACACGAUAUAAGACUGGUGCAGAGACAAACGAUGUCUUCAAGGCUUCAAAUGCUGCUUCUGCUUCUUGAUUCCAUUGGAAUUUAUCUUUACUAGUCAAGCGUGUAAGUGGAGCUGCAACUCGUGAGAAGUCUUUGAUGAAGAUCCGAUAGUAAUUGACAAAUCCCAAGAAACAUUGGACAUCUCUCACAGUCUUUGGAAUCUUCCAAUCCAUGAUUGUUUGGACUUUCUUAGAAUCCAUCAUAAGACCAUCAUUUGAAAUGAUGUAUCCUAAAAAGUCAACUUGAGUAGUGUGAAAUACACACUUUUCCAUCUUGGCGUACAAUCCUGCAUCUCUAAGUUUUUGUAAUACUUGACGAACAUGUAUUUCAUGUUCUUCAACAUUCUUAGAAUAAAUCAGGAUAUCGUCUAAGUAGCAGACGACAAAAUUGUCUAAGAAUUCACGAAAUACAUCAUUCAUGAGAUGUUGAAAAGCAGCUGGUGCAUUCGUGAGUCCAAAAGGCAUGACAUUAUAUUCAAAAUGCCCGUACCUGGUUCGAAACGCAGUCUUCCAUUCAUCUCCUUGUUUAAUCCGUACUAGAUUAUAUGCUCCUUUUAGAUCUAUUUUUGUAUAGAUCUUAGCUUGAUUUAACUGGUCAAGGAGUCCUGAUAUCAAAGGUAAUGGAUACCUGUUCUUGAUUGUGAUCUUGUUGAGUCCUCGAUAGUCAACACACAUUCGUAAAGAUCCAUCUUUUUUCUUUACGAAUAAAAUUGGAGCUCCUGCUGGAGAUUUUGAAUGGCGUAUGAAAUUCUUUGCUAAAUUCUCGUCAAUAUAUGUCUUGAGUUCAGCCAACUCAUCUUGCGAUAAACUGUAAAUUGGUCCAAAUGGUGGCUGAGUUCCUUCCUUGAGAUCGAUUGAACAAUCGUAUGGGCGAUGCUCAGGAAGAAUAUCUGCAUUCUUUUUCUCAAAAACGUCUUGAUAAUCCUGAUAUUGACUUGGAAUGCCACUUGAAGUCUUUACGCUUUCAGAAAUAGGUGCAGCAUAAAUAGCAAAAGUUGAUCCUUCUUUUGCUGCGUGUAUAAAUGCUUUUGCACCUAUAGGUGCGAGUUCUACUAUACUAGACUCAUGGUUUUUUACUUCGUUAAUAGAACUGUUAGUAAUGCUCUGAGGAAAAUCAAGUUUACGAGAAAUCCAAUCUAUUGGAGGAUUAUACUUUUCUAACCAUGAUAAGCCUAAAAUUACUGGAUUAGAGGGAGAUCUAAUUAUAUUAAAAAUUAUGCAACUACUAUGACCAUUUAUUACUACAUCUACAGGAAGUGUUUCGUGAGUUACAUCUCCAGAAGGCAACGGACGACCAUCUAUGACUUCUACGUGUACAGGUUUAGUUUUUUGUAUUAAUGAUAUUCUAUGACAUCUAGCAAAUUCUUCAUCUAAAAAACAAGCUAAGGCUCUUGAAUCUAUCAAGGCAGAGGCUUUGUAAUUAUUAGGUCCUAAACGCACAUCUAUUAUAAAACAAGGAGAUGGUUCUGAGGAGAUGAUAGGACCUUUAUUAGAAGUUGUACAAGAUUCCAGCCGCACGGUCCCUAUUGUAGCUGGACGUACUCGUUUUCCGACAUACUGUCUUCUUUGACAGCCGUACUCCUCAUUUUGUAGUUACGUCGCUUCUUUGGACAAUGUUGAGCAGUGUGCUUAGGUUCUCCACAAUAUAAGCACAAUCCUUCUUGUCGACGACGAGACUUUUCUUGCUCAGUAAGAGGUUUGAAACGUACCGCAUCAAUUUGCAUAUCCUCUACUUCCGAAGGUAUGUGUUGAGGAGACGUCGGUGUUGCCAUUGAAUUGUAGUAACGUUGAGGCCCACUUGUGCGACUCUCGGAUCGAAAUUCAAAAAGUCGAUUGUCGCACUUCACAGCAAAGUCAAUUGCUUGACUCAAUGUUUGAAGAUCAGGUAAAUUAAGCAUCAAUUUCUUUACCUCAUAUUGUAAUCCGUAGAGAAAUUGACUCACAAGUGCGGCAUCAUCCCACUUGAUAUCAGUUGCAAGUUAUCGAAAUUGCGAAGCAUAUAAUGUUACUGAUCGAUUGCCUUGUCGCAAAAUACGGAUCUUGUUGGUUGCAACACGAAUUGCAUCAUGUUCUCCAAACAUGGAUCGAAACUCCGCCAAAAAAGCCUCCAGAUUAUCCAAUAUUGGAUCUCGUCGUUCAAGAAAAGAUGAAAACCAUGACAAUGCUGAACCUGAAAGAAGUGUACCAAUGAAUCUUACUUGUGACCCUGGAGUUGGAUAGCUCUGGGGUUGAAGUUCAAUCACUAGUUGGACCUGAUUGAUGAAUCCUCGAAACUUGGAUCUGGUACCAUCAAACUUCUCGGGCAAGGCAACUCUCGGUUCUCUAACACUCGAAGGGUGUUCCAUUCUGGGAGAAGGGACAUGGUUUGGUGCAGAUGUUGAAGCAGCCCCAAUCAUCUCUAUAUCUUCACUUCCUACCAUUCUUGUUGCUCCUUGUGGUGGUAAAUUGAGUUGAUGCAUCGCAAGCAUUAACUCCCUCAAUUGUUCUUGCAUCUGUGCCAUUGCACUCUUCAUUUCAACAAGCUCUGCCAUAGUAGCACUUAGAAAAGAGAAGAUGUCUAACAACGCUCAAAACAAAUAGAAGAGAGGAAUUGAUAACAAAGAAAAUACUAAGAACAAUAUCAGUUUAAAAGAGGGUAAUCCGCAACUUCUAAUGCGCUUAUGUCUUAUCAAGAAAAAGGGGUAAUCCACUCUUAAUCAAGAAAAGACAAAGCUCUGAUAUUGUAAGUGUACUCUUGUCAAUCUGUCAAGGACAAGAACUCGAUGAAAGCUAAAGAGUAAGUGAGACUUUUCUCAAAAAGAAAUAGGACAAAAUAGGAAUAUGUAUAUUAAGAAAGAAACUGGAAUGGCUAUUGCCAAAAUACAAGAAAACUAGAGACCCUUGAAACUAGACUAGAAGCAAGAAAGGAGUUGACAAGAGUGAAGAGGGCUUCACUCUUGCCUCUAUAUAUACUAUCUAACUAGAAGCCACGUGGCGAUGUUCUAUAAGACCUCCAAUAUAUGUUGACUUUCUAGGCCACAUGCCUUUGCUUGCAAGGCAAGUUUUCUAUGGAUGGACCACGUAGUUAGCUUGUUCUUUAAGCUUCCAACAUGCGUGGCACAUGGCUAACUUGUUGACGAAGUUUCUAACCUAAAAGUCAACUAUAGACUCCUAUAAAGUCAAAGCAGCGUCUAUGAAGCUUCUAAGAAGCUUCUCUAGAAGAUAUUACACAAUUAACCUACUUUUACAUACUUUUAUCUAUUCAUAUAGGUAAUUAUAU
rnacentral:lncRNA from 1 species